rnacentral:rRNA from 1 species
UACGUAGGGUCCGAGCGUUGUCCGGAAUUAUUGGGCGUAAAGAGCUCGUAGGCGGUCCGUUAAGUCGGAAGUGAAAUCUCAAGGCUCAACCUUGAAAUCGCUUUCGAUACUGGCGGACUUGAGGCAGGUAGGGGAAGGUGGAAUUCCUGGUGUAGCGGUGAAAUGCGUAGAUAUCUGGAGGAACACCGGUGGCGAAGGCGGCAUCCUGGGCCAACACUGACGCUGAGGAGCGAAAGCCAGGGGAGCAAACGGG